UCCGCAGCGCGGCGGUAAUUCCAGCUCCAAUAGCGUAUAUUAAAGUUGUUGCAGUUAAAACGUCCGUAGUCAAAUUUUAGUCUUUAGGCGAGGUGGCCUGGUCUUCAUUGAUCAAGCUCGUCUCUGCCGAGACUUUUUUUUUGGUUAUGCUAUUGUUGGCUUCGGUCGGCGGUAGUCUCUAGCCAAAUGAUUACCAUGAGCAAAUCAGAGUGUUUAAAGCAGGCUUUCAAGCUUGAAUGUGUUAGCAUGGAAUAAUGAAAUAUGACUUUAGUUCUUAUUUCGUUGGUUCAGGAACUUAAGUAAUGAUGAAUAGAAACGGUUGGGGGCAUUUGUAUUUGGUCGCUAGAGGUGAAAUUCUUGGAUUGACCGAAGACAAACUACUGCGAAAGCAUUUGACCCAGGACGUUUUCAUUGAUCAAGGUCUAAAGUUAAGGGAUCGAAGACGAUUAGAUACCGUCGUAGUCUUAACCACAAACUAUGCCGACUAGCGAUUGGGCCUGUUUAUUAUGACUGGCUCAGCAGCUUAGCGAAAGUAAAGUUUUUGGGUUCUGGGGGGAGUAUGGGACGCAAGGCUGAAACUUAAAGGAAUUGACGGAAGGGCACCACCAGGAGUGGAGCCUGCGGCUUAAUUUGUCCCACCCCGGGGGAA
rnacentral:rRNA from 1 species